rnacentral:rRNA from 1 species
GAUGAACGCUGGCGGCGUGCCUAAUACAUGCAAGUCGAGCGAACAGACGAGGAGCUUGCUCCUCUGACGUUAGCGGCGGACGGGUGAGUAACACGUGGAUAACCUACCUAUAGGACUGGGAUAACUUCGGGAAACCGGAGCUAAUACCGGAUAAUAUAUUGAACCACAUGGUUCAAUAGUGAAAGACGGUUUUGCUGUCACUUAUAGAUGGAUCCGCGCCGCAUUAGCUAGUUGGUAAGGUAACGGCUUACCAAGGCAACGAUGCGUAGCCGACCUGAGAGGGUGAUCGGCCACACUGGAACUGAGACACGGUCCAGACUCCUACGGGAGGCAGCAGUAGGGAAUCUUCCGCAAUGGGCGAAAGCUUGACGGAGCAACGCCGCGUGAGUGAUGAAGGUCUUCGGAUCGUAAAACUCUGUUAUUAGGGAAGAACAAAUGUGUAAGUAACUAUGCACGUCUUGACGGUACCUAAUCAGAAAGCCACGGCUAACUACGUG